AGUCAAAGUCCAGACCUGAAUCCAAUCGAGAAUCUGUGGAAAGAACUGAAAACUGCUGUUCACAAAUGCUCUCCAUCCAACCUCACUGAGCUCGAGCUGUUUUGCAAGGAGGAAUGGGAAAAAAUUUCAGUCUCUCGAUGUGCAAAACUGAUAGAGACAUACCCCAAGCGACUUACAGCUGUAAUCGCAGCAAAAGGUGGCGCUACAAAGUAUUAACUUAAGGGGGCUGAAUAAUUUUGCACGCCCAAUUUUUCAGUUUUUGAUUUGUUAAAAAAGUUUGAAAUAUCCAAUAAAUGUCGUUCCACUUCAUGAUUGUGUCCCACUUGUUGUUGAUUCUUCACAAAAAAAUACAGUUUUAUAUCUUUAUGUUUGAAGCCUGAAAUGUGGCAAAAGGUCGCAAAGUUCAAGGGGGCCGAAUACUUUCGCAAGGCACUGUAUCAAUGGUCCACCACCCAAAGGACAUCCAGCCAACUUGACAACAGUGGGAAGUAUUGGAGUCAACAUGGGUCAGCUUCCCAUCCUACUAAACUACACUGUAGUAGUUACAGAUCCAUACAGCUAUGGAGCCUCCAUCCUACUAAACUACACUGUAGUAGUUACAGAUCCAUACAGCCUCCAUCCUACUAAACUACACUGUAGCAGUUACAGAUCCAUACAGCUAUGGAGCCUCCAUCCUACUAAACUACACUGUAGUAGUUACAGAUCCAUACAGCUAUGGAGCCUCCAUCCUACUAAACUACACUGUAGUAGUUACAGAUCCAUACAGCCUCCAUCCUACUAAACUACACUGUAGUAGUUACAGAUCCAUACAGCUAUGGAGCCUCCAUCCUACUAAACUACACUGUAGUAGUUACAGAUCCAUACAGCCUCCAUCCUACUAAACUACACUGUAGUAGUUACAGAUCCAUACAGCCUCCAUCCUACUAAACUACACUGUAGUAGUUACAGAUCCAUACAGCCUCCAUCCUACUAAACUACACUGUAGUAGUUACAGAUCCAUACAGCCUCCAUCCUACUAAACUACACUGUAGUAGUUACAGAUCCAUACAGCCUCCAUCCUACUAAACUACACUGUA
rnacentral:lncRNA from 13 species